UUACUAUCAUUCAAUAUUGUUUUAUUUGUAAGAAAGUGCAAUUACAUGUAUAUAAAUACGAACUAUAUCAUAUAAAGUUAUAGUCUAAACUUGUAUAUGUUACAGUUGUUCGUUCCAACACUUUUUGGAGAAGAAUCCUUCAAAGAAUCUUUACACGAACAUUAUUGGAAUUGACUAAGGGAGAAAGAGAAGAAGCAAAAGAUGUGUCUGUUCUUUUGAAGUUGUAGAGAAUGAAAAGAUACGUUGGUUU
rnacentral:lncRNA from 1 species